rnacentral:rRNA from 1 species
AUUGAACGCUGGCGGCAGGCCUAACACAUGCAAGUCGAACGAGUGGCGGACGGGUGAGUACUGUCUGGGAAACUGGCCGAUGGAGUGAGAUAACUACUGGAAACGGUAGCAAAUACCGCAUACCAUCGGAUGUGCCCAGAUGGGAUUAGCUGGUAGGUGGGGUAACGGCUCACCUAGGCGACGAUCCCUCGCUGGUCUGAGAGGAUACCCAGCCACACUGGAACUGAGACCCGGUCCAGACGCCGACGUGAGGCAGCAGUGGGGAAUAUUGAACAAUGGGCGAAAGCCUUAUGCAGCCAUGCCUCGUGUGUGAAGAAGGCCUUCGGGUUGUAAAGCACUUUCAGCGAGGAGGCGUUACUCGCAGAAGAAGCACCGGCUAACUCCGUGCCAGCAGCCGCGGUAAUAC